AAGAUUAUACUUUCAGAGAUCAUUUCUAUAGUUUUUGACUUGAGAAAUGUGUUUCUAGAGUGUCUGGUAUUGCUAACCACGAUGAUGAGUUGUGAUUUUUUUUCUUUUGAGCAUGAAGCUGACAGAGUAGUGCUGUGCUGCCCAUGGUCUGUCAUUGAUGAUUACCUUUUGCUCUACUGUAGAGCACUGAAGAAGGGAAUAUGAUCAGAGUGGC
rnacentral:snoRNA from 1 species